rnacentral:rRNA from 1 species
GACGAACGCUGGCGGCGUGCUUAACACAUGCAAGUCGAACGGAAAGUCCCUGCUUUUGUGCGCUGCUCGAGUGGCGAACGGGUGAGUAACACGUGAGUAACCUGCCCCUGACUUUGGGAUAUCUUCAGGAAACUGGGGCUAAUACCGGAUAGGAGUUCCUGCUGCAUGGUGGGGGCUGGAAAGUUUCGGCGGUUGGGGAUGGACUCGCGGCCUAUCAGCUUGUUGGUGGGGUAGUGGCUUACCAUGGCUUUGACGGGUAGCCGAGCUGAGAGGCUGACCGGCCAAAUUGGAACGGGAAUGAGACCCGGACCAGAACGGGAGGCGACGGUGGGGAGGGGUACACAAGAGGCGGAGCCCAAGUCCGAUCACGCAGCGCGGGGGGAGAGGUCCAUGGGGUUGGGAUCCACUGCCGCCUGUCCCGAGAUGUGAGUGACAGUAAUGGGAGAAGAAGCACCGGCUAACUACGUG